rnacentral:rRNA from 1 species
AUCGGAAUGAGUACACUUUAAAUCCUUUAACAAGGAUCCAUUGGAGGGCAAGUCUGGUGCCAGCAGCCGCGGUAAUUCCAGCUCCAAUAGCGUAUAUUAAAGUUGUUGCGGUUAAAAAGCUCGUAGUUGGUUCUGCGUGCCGCGCUGUCGGUUCGCCGCCUGUCGGUGUAACUGGCAUGUCGCGGCAUGUCCUGUCGGUGGUGAACGGGAUUCCCGGUGCUUCGUCRACUUUAUAGUUGGUGUUUGUGCCGUGCGAAGUCCGUUUGCCGAUCUCUCCUACUCCGGUGCUCUUAAACGAGUGUCGAGGUAGGCCGACACGUUCACUUUGAACAAAUUAGAGUGCUUAAAGCAGGCUGAAAUAUCUGCCUGAAUAGUGGUGCAUGGAAUGAUAAAAUAGGACCUCGGUUCUAUUUUGUUGGUUUUAGGAAUGUGAGGUAAUGAUCAAUGUGGACUGGCGGGGGCAUUCGUAUUGCGACGUUAGAGGUGAAAUUCUUGGAUCGUCGCAAGACGCACUAAAGCGAAAGCAUUUGCCAAGUAUGUCUUAAUUGAUCAAGAACGAAAGUUAGAGGUUCGAAGGCGAUCAGAUACCGCCCUA